AGCAGAUCAAUCAAUAUUAUUAUUAAUAACAAUUGUUUGUUUCAGGCCUAAACAUGGAGCACAUUUCUUAAUAAAUUGGUGUUAAAUGAAAUAACCACAACUAAAUUGACAGAAAACACUAUACUAUAUAUUCUAUCUUGCCCCAGAACAUAGACCCAACAAUAGGUUAUCAAACAAUGCAAAUUAUAGCCUGAUGACAAAAGGAGAAAUGGGAGUGAUGGGAGUAACACUAGAACUUGUGGUUCCAGUACUAACAGUAACAGUACCGGUUGCUGUAAGACUGUACGAGUGGUGAUAAUGUUUGCAGUAAUUGUAAUAGUGUUGUUUGUAGCAGCAAUAAUAUUUAGCAACUCUCUUUCAGACCCUGCACUGACUGAAAACUCCCAGCAUUCAAAGUGACUCAUCCUGAUGUGCAGGAGGUUGAAAUGCUGCUGGUGUUGGUGUCCCUGCUCGGCUGCGUCCCUGCAGCCAAGGCCUGUCUGCAGUGUGACCGCAAGAUCAGGCUCCUAUUCGAGGACUUAAUCCUGUCUGCUCCCACUAUGGUCGACCAGAUUGAAAUCAAAAAGAUUCGUGACCAUGCCUAUGUGACCUACAGGGAGACCAGCCGGGAACGAAAGGGAGUCGUUGAUCCCACCACUCUGUACAGAGCCAGAACUGAGUACCAGAGUGAAUUUGAUCGCUUCUUGAAAACCCAGCAUACUGGAUCUGCAACAUUUGAAGCCAUUCAGAUCAUGGAGAAGGGCAGGAAGAUCUUAGAGAAACACUUGGACACAUUCAUCCAUGACGGUAAUUGGCAUAAAUAACAUGUUCUGCACAGUAUGAGGCAGGGCACUUAGUGCAAGUCAUUGUUGUGUAGGAGAUGCAUUAGUUUCAGAUCAUUUGUUUGUCUCUCCCUCAGGAUUGUGCCCUAACAAGUGUGGUAAGUUUGUCUGAUCCCUCCCUCUGUAUCUAUGUAAAACCUUUAGAAGCACAAUGUGUACAUAUUAUAUAUUCAGUACAUUUACACGUGUUUGUGUGUGUGUGUGUGUGUGUGUGUGUGUGUGUGUGUGUGUGUGUGUGUGUGUGUGUGUGUGGUAUGGUUUUCAGGGCUUUUGAAACGAAGAGUAAUGGAUUGCUUCUCUUGCCGCUAUAAGAUAUACAUCUGUCCCUCUCCCUCUGGUCAGCAGGAUUGUGGUGGUAUAUUUUCAUUCGUUCCUUUGCGUGUAUGUGUAUGCAUGUUGUUUGUGAGUGGAUGAGAGCUGGUCAUACCUAUAUAAUGGGAGUACAUGCUGUCACGAGUGUGUAAAUGUGUUCCUAAGCGAGGCACUGCUGCUGCCUGUCCAUGUGCAGAGCUAAUGAAAAAGAUUAUUCAAGUAAUCCUGAUGUAAAUGAAUGAAGCAUCUCUCUUUUUCUCUCCUCUCCUCUCCUCUCCUCUCUUUUGUCUAGAGCACCCAGUGCCGGUUGAGGAGGGAGGCCAGGCAGUGUUGAACUGUUUCCUCCCAUGGCAUCCCCUUCUGAUGGAAAGACCAGAAUACCACUACUCAUGGGCCCCUGGUGUGCCAGGAACUAAAAAGGUCUCUCUGACAUCAGACACAUAAGUAGUAGCUUAGCACUUCCCACUUUUGAACCUCUUUUGCCUGCUUCCUGAUUUCCACGUAUUACGCUGAGUCCCUUAUUUAGCCAUACAGUAUCAUCAUGAAUGUGUAUAUUUACCACCAGCUAUUACACCCACUGAACUAUCACUAUCACUUCCUAAUUUGUAUGUGCAGAUGAAUGAGAGUGACUUCAAAGUCUUGGUAGUGACAGACGAUUCAUCUGUGGUCUUAAAUCAGCUGCAUGUGGAUGAACAGGGAACGUAUCGCUGCUCUCUGCAGGGCCGAAACGGAGGAACCGUUUUCUACCGAGUCACUUUCCUACUCACUGGUAGAGUACAGCUCUUAAAUACGUCACCACAGACAUUUUGUCAGAUAGUAUCCACGUCUGAAAGGGCAAAAGGCGACAUCACAUCUGAGUUAACGACUUUUGAACUGUAAGUUUCCACUUAAGAGAAGAAACACCAACAUUUGUCACUUCUAAAGAUAUGGAACUGAAUAAAAUGAAAUAAAUAAAUACAAUUUAAAAUCUGUAAAAUGUUUCUGCUGUAAAACUGUAUAAUGUGACAAAUGUCUCCGUUUUAGGUAUUUUUUCGGUAUAAAUCUUAGUUUUCAGGUCCAGGGGUAUAUUAAAGGAUAUCCAAGAGGCCUCAAGCCAAAUUAGAAAUACAGCACUUAAUUUUAAAAGAAAUCAAUUCACUACUACAACUCAUGUACUUUGAAACCAUUUCAGUUUUGUAAGGCUUAUAAUUUGUUACCCAGUGUGUUUGUGUCUGUGGGGUGGAUUCAGGGUGUGUCAAUUUCUUUAAGAGGGCGGGUGGUUUUUCUCUCAUCUUAUGUUGCUGUGUGGGCUUUCUUGUACUUUAUUUAGUGUAUUCUUCCAUACAUGUUCCAUACAUGUAAUGUGUCCCCCACUGUCCCACACAAACAUAGUCUUUGUCCCCCAUUUGGUUUGUUGGGAUCUGGUCACCCUGGCUAUACUGUAAAUAUAUACUGUAAACAAAAUUGCCUUAUAAAAUAAGAAAACUACUUCUAAAAAAAGUGGUUUC
rnacentral:lncRNA from 15 species